UCGGAUAUGGUGUAACGGCUAACAUUGCCGCCUCUCAUAAGGCCUUAUGCGCGGCAGCUCGGGGUUCGAUUCCCCGUAUCCGAA